GGUUAUUAUUAUUGGCUUAGUAGUUCGAGCGCCCGCCUCAGAUGCAUGAAGUCGUGGGUUCGAACCCCGGCUGAGUCA